ACAGCCGAGCUCGCCAGACCCCGCGACUACGAAGGCCAUCCCGUCCGGUCACGCACACCCGCGCCGCGGCUGGGGCUCGGGCUGGGGACUGUGGCGGCGAAGAAGCCGUGUGAUGGAGUUCUCACAAGUUCUGAUGGUUUAAGCAUGGAAGUUUAUCCUGAGGUCUCCUUCCUGCUGGUAUGUUAGGCGUGCCUUGCUUCCCCUUCACAUUCCGCCAUGAUUAUACAUUUCCUGAGGCUUCCCAAGCCAUGCGGAACUGCAUACGACUCAGGAUUCGUAACUACAUAUACAUGGAUAGAAGUGCAUGAACAGAAAAUCUGCUCUUCUGGAAUACCAAAUGCAAAAUUAAAGUCACUACAAGCAGAAUUUGGAGAAAACAAAUAAAAGAUGCAAUAUAGUUUUUAAAAUCAUUGUUAAACUAUAAUGAGCCUGUACUUUGCUUAAACAAUAAAAACAUCUUUGAUUUAUA